UGGGGAAUCUUAGACAAUGGGGGCAACCCUGAUCUAGCCAUGCCGCGUGAGUGAUGAAGGCCUUAGGGUUGUAAAGCUCUUUCAGUGGGGAAGAUAAUGACGGUACCCACAGAAGAAGCCCCGGCUAACUCCGUGCCAGCAGCCGCGGUAAUACGGAGGGGGCUAGCGUUGUUCGGAAUUACUGGGCGUAAAGCGCGCGUAGGCGGACUGGAAAGUCAGAGGUGAAAUCCCAGGGCUCAACCUUGGAACUGCCUUUGAAACUAUCAGUCUGGAGUUCGAGAGAGGUGAGUGGAAUUCCGAGUGUAGAGGUGAAAUUCGUAGAUAUUCGGAGGAACACCAGUGGCGAAGGCGGCUCACUGGCUCGAUACUGACGCUGAGGUGCGAAAGCGUGGGGAGCAAACAGG
rnacentral:rRNA from 1 species